GGAGAGGUGGCCGAGUGGCUGAAGGCAACGGUUUGCUAAACCGUCAUAGGGUGUUUAGCUCUAUCGGGGGUUCGAAUCCCCCCCUCUCCGCAA
rnacentral:tRNA from 1 species